rnacentral:rRNA from 1 species
CAAUAGCGUAUAUUAAAGUUGUUGCAGUUAAAAAGCUCGUAGUUGGACUUCUGCGGGUGGCGGCCGGUCGUGCCCUUUUGUGGCGUGAACUUGGCUCUUUGCCGCCCGCAUCUUUGGGGAGAUUGUGCGUGGCAUUAGGUUGUCGUGCAUGGGAUUCUCAUCAUUUACUGUGAAAAAAUUAGAGUGUUUAAAGCAGGCCUUUGCCUUGAAUACAUUAGCAUGGAAUAAUAAGAUAGGACCGUUGUCUAUUUUGUUGGUUUACAGAUGUCGGUAAUGAUUAAUAGGGAUAGUUGGGGGUAUUCGUAUUCAGUUGUCAAAGGUGAAAUUCUUGGAUUUUCGGAAGACGCACGACUGCGAAAGCAUUUACCAAGGAUGUUUNCAUUA